ensembl:lncRNA
CUGUGAAGAAUAAGGUCAUUUCAGGAGCGCAGAUCAGCAUCCAUGCUGGGCGGGUCACACAGUCCUGGAAGGCCCAGCGUCCUCCGAAAGGAAGCACUAAAUGAGGGCCCAGACGUCUCCAAACAGCAGGAGGGGAAAAGAGCCUGGAGGGAUCACAAAUGGAACACCUCCAGUGGCCAUCUUUCCCACCAUGCAGAAAGAGCCUGCCUGGGAGUGAAAUAAUGGAGAAGGAAGCCAGCUCAGAGAGGCAGGAGAGAGCUCAGUGACCAGCAGGAGGUUCCCCCAAGCCUGGACUUUAAGCAAAGUUUCUGAUGUUUAUGACAGGAAGACUCUAAAAUAUACGGCUUAAAAUCAUCUUUCCCCUCCUUGUUACGCACAGCUCUUCCAUAUUUGGGGCCAAGGCUUUAUAAACACAGGCUGGUACAACGUCGGGGCACUGAAAUAAUAAACAAAUAUUCACAGGCA